GCCUAGCCGUAAAUAAUCAACUUACACCUACCAACGCCAGGGGACUACGAGCCAUGCUUAAAACCCAAAGGACUUGACGGUGUUCCACCCAACUAGAGGAGCCUGUUCUAGAAUCGAUGAUCCCCGCUAUACCCUACCACUCCUAGCCUAUUCAGCCUGUAUACUUCCGUCGAAAGUUUACCGUGUGAAUGUUCAUAAGUAGACCCAAUGAUCCACCAUCAAUAUGUCAGGUCAAGGUGCAGCCCAAGAAGUGGAAAGUAAUGGGCUACAAUUUCUAAGAUAGAACAUACGAAAGUCUAUGUGAAACCAUAGACAUGAAGGCGGAUUUAGUAGUAAAAAGAAAAUAGAGAGUUCUUUUUAACAUGGCUCUGGGACGUGUACAAACCGCCCGUCGCCCUCUUCGAUAAAUUUAACCUCAGUUUCUAACCC
rnacentral:rRNA from 1 species